AGCCCUGCGUUAAAGGGGGAUCCUGGGCGACCCCGGGAGUGACGUCCUGGUGCUUGGGACACGCGUUACCCUCUAAUCCACAUCCUGUGAAGCCUGGGCGCGCGGUCCUUCCCUUUCCAUCACUUACCGCCGAGCCCCACAGCGUCUUUACACACCAUUUUGAGCAUUCUGUGCUUGCGAGCGGGGCUCUGGGAAUACAAAAGUUAAAAGAUACCCCUUGAGGUAUCCACGCUCAGUGCUCUGGAAGUUCAUCUGGAGCAGAAAGAGCAGUCAGAGAGCUGUUCUCCUUGUUGGUCUUUGUGACUCCGGGAAAACAUUGCUGUUUGUCAGACUGUUAACAGGCCUUUACAGAGAUACUCAGACUUCCAUUACUGACAGCUCUGCUGUGUACAGAGUCAACAAUAACAGGGGCAAUAGCUUGACCUUGAUUGACUUCCUGGGCAUGAGAGCUUGAGGCUUCAGUUCUUGGAACGGUUUAAGUCUUCAGCCAGGGCUGUUGUGUUUGUCGUGGACAGCGCAGCAUUCCAGCGAGAGGUGAAGGACGUGGCUGAGUUUCUGUAUCAAGUCCUCAUUGAUAGUAUGGGUCUGAAGAACACGCCGUCAUUCUUGAUAGCCUGCAAUAAGCAAG